ncrna:unclassified sequences RAGATH-18 RNA
UCUGUGGAGUGUCACAUCAAACUGCGGUAGUUUCGACGAAACAGGACACGAAGAAGCAGAAA